UUGUAAGGGUUCUCAAGGAAGAAAACAGAAAUUUUUAACUUAUAUAUGUGUCUCAUGUUGAACUUGAUUCUUCUAGAGGCUUAAAGCAAUAUGUUCCCACUAAAUGAAACUCGACCUACUUCAUGCUAGAGAGUGCUUUGUACUACACAAAAGCCUUAAUCCAUUUUAAAAAGAUUGAUGCCAAUUAUGUUCAUUGUCCAGCUUUAGAAGAGUGGGAUAGAGUUAGAGAAAAUAUGCAAGUUUCUAAAGAUUUUUUAUGAAGCUACUCUUGUCUUUUCUGAGACUAAAUAUCCUACAACCAAUAUUUUCUACCCAAAUGUACUAAAGGUUAGAUUGCUAUUAAAGCGUGAAAUGGAAAGUAAGGAUCAUUUCAUGAGAUCAAUGGCUGCUAAGAUGUAUGAGAAAUUUGAUAAGUAAUGGUCCACUUUUGGUACUUUCAUGGCUGUUGCGGUGGUGUUGGAUCCACGUUAUAAGUUGGAGUUGUUGAGUGGGGCAGUAAAAAGGUUUCUGGUGUUACUCAAGAGCAUGAUAAUGUCCUUACACAAGUGGUUGAUAAGGUGAGGGGUCUAUAUGAGGGAAUAUGCUGCUGUUUGCACUUCAAGUACCAAUAAUGCUGCUGCUGGUUCGAAGGUUCAACCCAUCAAAGAAGGAGAUCUUGACGAACUUGGAUGACUUCGACGAGUUCUCGACUAAGAAAGCAAUUGUGACUAACAAAGAUUACUUAGAUAUUUAUUUUGAAGACGUUCUUCUCCCCGCGUACUACUAAUUUGGAUGUUCUCAUGUAUUUGGAGGAACAAUUCUGUCCGUUAACCUCCUUGAGCACUUAUGGCAAAAGACAUUCUUGUUGGCCCCGUAUCUACAGUCGCUUAUGAAUCAGCUUCCUUUAGCACUGGGGGUCGUGUUCUUGACAGCUAUAGAAGUUCUUUGAAGCCUUCUACCGUUGAAGCUAUCAUGUCUUAGGGAUUGGAAAUUCUAAGAAGCACAUAUGGAUCCUCGGCUUAAGAACUUGUGUGGGAGUGUGAUGAUCUAAAGGUGGACAAUACAAUGGAUGAUACACCAAUCCCGAGUCUGACAAUGAGUUCCGAUUUUAAUAAAAGUAGUUCUAAGAAAUGAGAAAUCUGUCUUGAUUAGUUGAUUAUGCAUGUCAAGAACUUGGGAUCAUGUUGUUAGAUGUUAGAACUUAAAACAUUGAACUUUGCUCUUGGUUGUGAUGGGUUGGAACUUUGAACUAUCUUUAAUUUAUUUUGUGGUCUGUAAAAAUUAA